GAGUAUUUUAAAGCUUGCCUCACUGACUAUAUUAUAAUAGACUAAAUUCAACCAGUUGCAAAAUAAUGAGCUACAGAAUUGCUAGAUCUACUUUGGCAUUGACAAUAAUCAUAAUCACAUUUGCUCCAUCUUGUGAUGCCCAAGUUACAGAUGGGAUUUUAUCAAGUGCUGGCAAAAAAUUCGUGGUCGGUUUCCCAAGAAAUGCUGUUCAACAUCCAGGAAUCAAUCCAGAGUUGUUAUUGUUUAUCACAAACCCAGAGUCAAGUGCUGUUAAUUUCACAGUUAAUAUCAGUGGGAAUGUUUCUAACUCUUCAACUAGGGCAAACGUUCCAUCCAGUUUUAAGGUUUCUUUUGUUAUUGAAAGGAACAAGGGGAUCCUUGUUGAAGCCAACAGAGACAUCAAUUUGUAUGGGAUGUCUUUUCAUUUUCGUCGAGGUAGUCACUCACUUCGAGGUUGAAGUAGAUGCUCGUGUGUUGUGAGGGUCAAUGUCUAGUAGCUAGUAGAGGCUGUAUAAUUGUAUGAAGGGAGGAGUGGAAAUAAUGUAACAGGUGUAUUGUGUACAAUGGCAUAUGCACGUUAGCAUUGCAAAUAUUGUGUACAAGUUACAGUAGCAAAACUAUCUAUUAAAGUCGUAUUAACAGUUGCACACACAGGUCAGUGCUUACAAACCAUAGACCACGGUGUACUCAACCACACUAUUCAAUGGAACAGUGAUGAUGAAAAGUUUGGCAAACGUUCCGUGUUUACUACAGCAGUUCAACACUUUUAUUUGUACUAUCAUCUACUCUUGAUAGUCUGUUAAUUAACCAGUUGCUAGAAAAAUGAGCUACAGAAUUGCUAGAUCUACUUUGGCAUUGACAAUAAUCCUAAUCACAUUUGCUUCAUCUUGUGAUGCUCAAAUUACAGAUGAGACCUUAUCAAGUGCUGGGAAGAAAUUCGUGGUCGGGUUCCCAAGAAAUAGUGGUCAAAGAGCAGACGAGUUGUUUUUAUUUAUCACAAAUCCAGAAUCAAGUGCUGUUAAUUUUACAGUCUCUCUAAUUAAUAUCAGUGGGAACGUUUCUACAUCUUCAACUAGGGUAAACGUUCCACCCAGUUUUGAGGUAUUUUCUGUUAAUGAAAGGAACAAGGGGAUCCUUGUUGAAGCUGACGGAAACAUCAAUUUGUAUGGGAUGUCUUUUCAUCAAUAUACUGCAGAUGCUUAUUUAGCGUUACCAUGUUCUAAAAUGGCAGUUGAUGAAUACGAAUAUUAUGGAAUCUCCUACGACACCAUUAGUAGUACUACCUAUUAUCCUAGUGUGAUUUUGUUGGUGGCUUGUGAAAAUGAAACUGUUGUAAAUUUCCUUUCCUCAACAAUAAUACUAAAUAGUAUGGAAACAUAUCAGAUUGAAAGUGAUCAUGAUCUCACAGGAACAAGAAUAACUAGCUCCAAAUCUUUGUCUGUGUUUAGUGGAUCUGAUUGCGCUUUUGUUCCUCAAGUUAUAAGGUGGUGUGACUACCUGGUUGAACAAGUGCCUCCGACUGUGACAUGGGGCUCAAAAUUUCUUGUGGCAUCUCUCGAGGGUAGAUCUUCUGGUGAACGUAUUCGUGUUCUUAGUGCCCGAGCAGCAAGUGUAACUGUGAACUGCAACACUGUUGUAUCAGUCAGUGAAUUCCAGUUACAGAGUGGAGGGAGCUUCAGAGAAUUUGAAAUCCCUAUUAACAGUUUCUGUAACAUUGAAUCUACUUCUCCAGUACUGGUCGCACAGUAUGCGUAUGGUAGGGAUAGUGAUGGUGUGGGAGACCCAUUCAUGAUGAUAAUCCCUCCAAUUGAGCAGUUUACAAAUAACUAUUUAGUUGAAGCGUUUUCUUUUUUCGUAUCCAACUAUGUCACAGUAUAUGUUUCUUCCGAGUGUUUUCAAACUGCACAAAUAAUGUUAGACAAUUCCAUUGUUACUGGUUGGAUGAAUGUUGUCUGUUCAAGUGGAGAGAUUUGUGGUCACGUAAGUAGAAUGAAUGUGUCUACUGGAGCUCAUUCUAUCCGCCAUCAAAACAGCUCAGCCGUUCUAGGUGUUUCAGUGUAUGGAUUCGACAUAUACAAUUCUUACGGUUACCCUGGAGGCCUGAGAUUAUCUCCCAUACAAUGCAACUGUGGUCAAAAUUCUAUUUGUUUGAAUUACAUGGGACAGUUCAACUGUAGUUGCUUGAAUGGAUUUGUGGCGUCGUUGUUUGGAACAGAUGAAAUUGUCUGUACCGGUCAGUUGAGUGUUUAAAUAGAAGGUCAUUGAUUUGUAGAAUGUUAUUAAUGCAUUAAGUGAUUUCUUUAUUUGCAUCUACCAUUCCUUGUACCUAUAGUUACCUGUGUCCUGCCUGCCCCUCCGCUUAAUGGAACAUUGCUCACCAGCAUUCAGAACACUAGCACAAUUGAGGGCUCAGUUAUUACCUUCCAAUGUGAUCCUGGUUUUUCACUGGUGGGUACAAAGAUUGCCACUUGUAACAACUCUGGUUUAUGGGAUCCUGACCCGGCUCUAUUGGAGUGUAAGUUCACAAAAAUAACUGGUGCACGGAAUGUUGCUGCUCUAUCUGGAGGUUUUGUUGCUCUAGUAGUGGUACUGAUCUUACUGGUCGCCAUAUUUCUCUUAGUAGCAAAUGCCAAAAAGAAAAAAACAAAUAGACAACUGUCAGGCAAUGGAGUUCCAAUAGCUCCAGCUGUUCCAGUAUACGAGGAAGUUGAUCUAACAAUGACACCAAGAACACAAGACAUUCAAGUGGAGUCUAAUGAAGCUUAUGCACAAGUGAGUAAAUAAAGUGAACAGAUAGAGAAUUGUGUACUGAUUAUCUUAUCGAUCCCAGACGGCAAAAUGAAAUAUUAAGUUGCAGUCAAAUCUGGCAUAUGGUGAAAUCAAAUACAUUAGUAGCUG